UACGAAGGGGGCAAGCGUUGUCCGGAUUUAUUGGGCGUAAAGAGCGUGUAGGCGGCCUGACAGGUCUGCUGUGAAAACUCGAGGCUCAACCUCGAGAUGUCGGCGGAAACCGUCUGGCUAGAGUCCGGAAGAGGAGAGUGGAAUUCCUGGUGUAGCGGUGAAAUGCGCAGAUAUCGGGAAGAACACCCGUGGCUAAGGCGGCUCUCUAGUACGGUACUGACGCUGAGACGCGAAAGCGUGGGGAGCGAACAGG
rnacentral:rRNA from 1 species